UUCGUAGGUGGCCUGCUAAGUCACACGUGAAAUCCCUCAGCUUAACUGGGGAACUGCGUGUGAGACUGGCGGGCUUGAGUGCAGGAGAGGAACGCGGAAUUCCAGGUGUAGCGGUGAAAUGCGUAGAUAUCUGGAGGAACACCGGUGGCGAAGGCGGCGUUCUGGACUGCUACUGACAUUGAGGAACGAAAGCCAGGGGAGCAAACG
rnacentral:rRNA from 1 species